rnacentral:lncRNA from 1 species
CUGGGAUACAAGUGGCCUGCACAGUGCAAGGACACAUUAACGAAACAGCACACAGCACUGCAACACAAAGUGCUGAGUGAAUGCAGACCACUGCGAAUGUUGGUGUCUUUGGUCAAAAGAACGCAACGCAGCAACAAACAACCACACCUUUUUGACCUUUGGGAACAAGCCAGCAGUGGAACGGGCCCACCACCAGGCCUACAAGGCAAGAGGGAAACAUGCCAGCCCGUGGGAAGAGGGUUGGAAGCUGAGAGGAUCAGAGACAUCAAAGGACCUCAUCGUUUUUCAUACGCAGCUGAGCAGUGCUGGAGGCUACAGCACAUGCCAAGCCAUUCACCGAUCCAAAGUCCCACAGAGGCAGCAGGACCCUAAAGGGAACCCAGGUCAGCCAUAAACCCAGGCGGUCUCGCUGAUUUUAGCUGCUAAGUGCCAACUGCACCUCACAUCUCGUUGCAGUGGCCUGACGAGGCAAUGCAGGAAACAUGACAGGACAGUACAGAGAUGGAAACUCCACAGCAGUCGGCAUCUGUGCCCAAAAUGGACCCUCAGCCCGGCUCCUACCUGUACCUCACAGUCAAGCUCCUCAUUAGCAUUUGCAAAAGCAGCUCAGCUGUCACAUGCUCUUUCCCCAGCAAAGGUCCAAACAGAGAAUAUACCAGCAGAGUGCAUGUCAUGUGUACUGUGAAAGACUGCAUUGCAAACAGGCAGGCUUGCUGGGAACACAGCAAACAGGGCAUGAGCAAGCAGCUCGUUACCAUGAUGUCUACCUUGGAGUUUGUGUGACACUACCUUCCUGUAAGGCAGGAUGGCAAAUCCCUCUUUCAACGGCAUCAGAAUUCACCUUUUGAGCAUCCCCAGGAGCACAAAAAUCUUCCUGAUCAUGACUGGGGUGGACAAGUAACAGUCAUCUUCAGGAGUCCCACAGCUACAUCUAAUCUCUGAGCUGACACUCAGACACUUUGAAGCAAAGAAAACAUGAAGAGAAAAAGCAGACAGCAAAGGUGCUGUAGAUGCUGCAAGGACAGCACACCAGACAGCUGGGGUUCACUCUCAGGUUCACCAGUCCUCUCUCAACACUCAGUUGGGAAAGUGCAGGGCAGAAUAAAGGGCAGUACGUGCAGCAAAGGCCAACAGGGAAGCCAGCACAACUUUGAAAUCAACGUAUCUGAACUGACCUCCAUGAAAAGAAACACGAAGUGGAUUACGGCAGCUUCUUUGCUAAGAGACAGUCCACCAAGAUAUGGGAGCCUUUUACAGAGUCACAGAUACUUCUGAAGAACUGACAAAGAACAAGGCAGUGAAUCCAUCACUUCAAAGCCUGAGUCUACGGAAGUGCUCUUAACUUGCAGCACCAAGAAACGUUACUGGAAUUGGAGAAUGGAGUGAUAAAUGGAUUAAGCCAGCACUGCAGAGCCUCAGGAGAGGAGGACAGCUAUCAGAUCUGGAACCUCACCACUCUUUUCUGUCUUUUAUUCCUGUUCUUUGACUUGAUGGAAUGAGGGUGAAGCAACACAGCCCUCUAGAGCUGGCAAGAUCCAAGACAACCCAUUACUCCAUUGACAGGCAUCGGUGUGCAUGGGGCCCAUUUGCAAACAGCAACUUCAGACCAGGUACAGCUGAAGACAAAGAUGGCACAAAUGAGGAGUAUUAACUGCUAAUGUUCCUGGCAAUUAGCAAGCAAAUGAAAACUAGUGCUACAAAAACAUAAAGUUUACAUCAUAGUUAAAAGAGUAGCUGAGCUCCAGUGCAACAACAAAGGAGACUUCUCACAUGCACACCAUCACCAUCUCACUGCUUCAGAAACGCUCAUCUGGCCACACAUUUACCACUUCCCUGAGGAUUUCUUUUGUCACAUUUCCCUUGAAUUCAAGACUGCACUCCCCACCCCCCUUCUUUCCUUUUUUCUUUCUUUCUUUUUCUUUAAAACACAAGAACCUUGUUCCUGCACCCUUCUUACAGUGCAUACCCUUAUUCCCUCCCAAGGAUUAUCUGUUUGCUUCCCAGCUAAAAUACUGUCCAAGGCCAUUUCCUCCAACCGCCUGCAGUGAAAUGAACCCAGUGCCAGCCCUAUUAAGAUCAACUAUUCUUCUCAUUUACUCGAGCCAUCCCAUUAGUUAUCAGUAGUGACUUUGAAAGGAACAGAGAGUUUUAUACCCUGCUCAGCUCUCACUGCAGCAGGCACUUACAAAUAACUGAAGCUUUGUUUUCAGAAAAAAAGUAGCCUUGCUUUUGAGCUGACAGGACGAUCCAUAAAGUCACACAGCAACCAAAAUAUUCCAGGCCAUUCAGCUCAGUGGAAGCUUGCAGCACGGCUGCACAGUGAGUGCCUGGUCUCUGCCGUCACAUGAAGCAAUGCUGUUCAGCAUCCUGGAUGGUGCUGCAGGUGGGAGCUCUCAGCAAAGGAGACGGCCAUUGACCACACAGCUAUCAGCAAAGAGUAGGAAAGCUGAAAACCCCAGGCACGGCAAGGAGAUAUGCUUUCCAAAGACAAACAAACAACAACAAAAAAACCACACAAGAAAAUACACUAUAAACCACAGAGCAUACAUUCUAAGACAGCAAAAAAGAUUUGUUUUUCCUUAAUUCCAAACCACAGAGAGUGCUGCUGUCAUAACCCACUGUCACUGCUGAACCAUGUCACUUCCAAGGUUAAGAACACUGAUGACAGAACCUUUUAUAUUGUCCACUUCAGGCGAGUGCACCUCUGGGAAGGAACAAAGAGAAGCAAUCUCUUUCCAGCUACUGAAAGAAGGCAGCCCACAAAAUGUGUUCUUCUCAGGUACCGAGUGAGCACUGUAAUGUCUAAGGUACUAUAAAUCCUCUGGAAUUAAGAAGAGUCCAAUAGAAUGCUCUAGCUCUUCCAGUAAGAUUGGUAAUUAAUACAGACUAGGCUGACCCUUCCAAUUGCAGGGAUUUAGGCAGCUUGUCAAUAUAGCAAGCAAGAGAAAGGACGAACAUGUGAAUACUGCAAUGAAAGAUCUGCUUAUCUAGCUAAAUGCACAAGCCCCACCACUGUGAGCAGCAGGAACAGAAUGCAGAAAAGCUCUUUGGAAUAACUGUGAAGCAACAGAUACUUUUCUAAAGCAGCCUGGCAGUACCACCACCUUCUGAAACAAAGGAGGCUGCAGCCUCUCUGACAACCCAUGAAAAAUGGUGUCUAAAAACAAGUUAACAUGAAGUACGAUAUCACAAAAGGAAUAUAUAAGACCUGAAACACAGUGCUCAGCUUCCACAGUGAGGGGCACGCUACCAAUUUCGACCAAAGUGUUCAUUUACAGUGUGUCAAAAGCUAAUCCAGGUCAAUUCACUACCUAAAAGUCAAGGUUUUGAGAAACGCCUGUUCUUUUCUUGCUAAGCAUGCUCCCUUUCCCGAAGCACAAUCAAUGCCAAUCAAACCCUGCACACGAGCAGAGCUCUAGUGGAGAGAUGCAGCCCAUACAAAUGAAAAAUGCCACAAGCUCCCCUAGAAAGGCAGUCCUGACAAAGCCUACAGCAUGGCUCUUCCAUUAGAGCCUUUCAUAAAACACAGCCAGAGUGUGAAUACUGAGCGCUGGCUAGAAAGCCCUCUCGAGCCAUAAAUCACAUGGUACAUGCACAGCAUAAGUGGAGUUUAUUCAUGACGGACAGUAUUUCAACAGGGCUUGAUAGAUGGCUGAGGAAAAGGAGCCAGGCUUUAUGGAAGAUAGAACUAGUUACACAAGAGAUUCUUCAUUAGUGAGAAAUCCUUAAUGAUAUGAAGCUUAGCCAAGCGGAGUCAGCCUGAAAGCUGGGGCUGUCCUGCUCUUCUCUGUCAACAAAGCAGGCACCAUCACCUCCCUGCAGCUUGCUGCCUGCAACUCCUCCGUGCUAGCGCUGAUACCGAGCAAGAAAAGCACAAUAAGUCAGUCCACGCACCACUACACAGCAACUCCAAUGACAAACAGCUCCGGUCUGAAUUUACACCAGCACCAUUAGAAGGAGAUGUUGGACUGCACUAAAAGCAGAGCGCUGCAGCUCAAGCGAGGCAAUGGAAAAAGAAGUCUCGUGACACCCUACAUGAUGGAAGGUUAAUUGCUCAGACCUACUCCUCUAGGACACCAAACCCACUUCUGACUACCACUCCUACCCACAGAAGGGUACGUGGGAGAAAAGCCAGCCUGGUCCUGUUUAACAACUGCUCCCAGCUGUAAUCUGAACCACUAAAUUUGAUUCCUCAAACACCUGUUAUUCUUGGACAAGCUCCUCUUGCACCAUACAUCAGAAGAAUAAAAUGAAACCUAUGCAACACAGAAAGAGAGGGCAGCCAGCACGGUCUGUUAUACUACUGUAGGGAAAUGAGACCAUGACACUGGAUGCACCAUCACUUGAGGACUGAUGCCUGCCAGAGCAAAACUAGACACCAGCAUUGCAACACCAGCACUCUGUGACCUACGAAGUGCUGAUGAGGAUAGCUUAUAAAGGAAAGGCCACAUCACUUCCUGUCUAAACUUGCUACACAAAUAUCACAGCUGCAACACAGGCUUGGGAUACAACUUUCCUUACAGAGUCAAGGAGAACAGAACAAUCUCCUUCCUCGCAGCACAAAGCUGCAGUACCAGCUUGCAGUCUGCUGCUGCAGAACAGAAGCAAAAUACCCUGGAAAAUGUCUACAUGAGCACUUUGCUAUCUCGUAACACAGGCAGAGAGUUGAUGGUGCCCUCUCCUGGCAAUAAGGGCAUGAGAGAUGUUACUGGCAAAAAAAAAAAUCACAAGAUUUCAACAAAAGUAAGAACUUUCAGAAACACCAAAGCUUACUGGAAAAAGAUAGGGUUUAACAACAAUAAUUUCCCUUUUCCUUCUCCUUCCCACACACACAGGCAGGAGGGCCAUGUGGAGCACUAGAUGCCUAAAGGCAGUUUAAACAGACUCAUGUAUUAUUGCUAGUGACUCACACACCAAAUCAGAUGCUACUAGUAGCUGCAUUUCUGCUAAAAGCAGGACUGAGCUCACCAAACCCUCUGCCAGCACACCAAAGAGAUGGUGUUUCUGUGGGAAGGACGAGCAAGCACAAUGAAAAUAAGUCACAAAAGGUACCUGGACCCUGAUUAAGGGUUGGAUUAGAAACCUCACUGUCUCAUUAAUUUGUUUCACUUCUUCCAAGUGUUAAUUUAAUCGAUAU